CAAACAAACUCUCGAUGUGAAGACCAAAGAGUGGACGGGUUGUUGGAGAUGGGAGUUGAAGGACGAGGUACUGCGACGCAGGUAUCCAGGUGUGUUUGUGUGUACCUGUGGUUGUGUGCGCCGGGAGUGCCUUGUUGAGGGAAUCCGGACCUCGUCUCUGCCUUCGGGCCACUGCAGUCGUUACGCACGAGUCGGAGCAUUCCAAAACGCCGCUGCCCGGACGCACGGACGCACGGCAGGGCACGGAUGUUGGCACUCCUGCUGGACUGGGUGAGUCCAAACUCAGUUCUGUCAGUUUUUAGUAUUUUAAGUUGUUCAUAUUAAGCAGCCGAGAUGAAGUUGACUCAGAGUGAAGUCACAAAGAUCAAAGGAGCGUAAAAGCGCACAAGAAUAUUACAUAUUUUUAAGAUUUUUUUUGGGUGAUCUGCGACACACACUUAAUCUAAUCAAUGUAUUGUGGGAAUUAUGUAUAUAUAUUUUUUUUUUCUUGUACACUAUUCUUGUAAAAAUAACACGAUAAAUUUGGCUUUUUAAAUUUGUUUUAUCAGUUGCAAGAUUUGAAAUUGUGCGUAGAGCAGCUUUCAAAAAAACGUAGGAUUAUUUUUUUAUAAGCUCAGAAUUAGUGUCAUCCGCUCUCACUGUAGACAAAGUGUAACAUUAGCUGAUGUGUGAUUGCUGAUAAAGUACAAAUGGUUUACUAAUGCAUCUAAAAAUGUCAAUUUUUUAUCAGGAGAAAUGCAAAAUAAAGGAGUUUGUCCUUCUGAGUCUAAAUAAAUUCUGGCAUGAACUAAAUUGUCAAUGAAAUAUAGGAAACACAAUAUAUAUAAAUUAGGCUGAGAGGAGAAAUCCACAAUAAUCCUUUAAACUCCUUUGGGUUUAAAAGUUGUUUUGAUUUUUCUCUUCACAGAAACCUGCUUUUCAUCACCCUGUUUUGGGAUUUUCUUCCUCUCAGCCUAAGGCCGUGCCUUUGGCUGUUGGCUACAACCCUCCAGCCUUUUCCCACCUCAAUCUGAGACCGACUUCUUUAUUAUGUAGUAUUAAGGCUUUGUCCAUAUCUCAGUGGUCUUCUCCCAACAUAAAAAACAAAAAUAAGAACCUAUUUGCAUGGAGUGAGAGAAAAAAGGAAAGAUAGAAAAAAGGAGGUCAGGGUUGGACUCUCCUCAAAUAACCUGAAAAGUUACAACAUGCACCAAAGAACAACACAACACACUGACAAGAGAAGCUGAAAGAGAUUGAGUGGAUCCUCUCUCUCUCUCUCCCUCUCUCUCUUUCUCUCUCUCUCUCUCUGUGUAUGUCUGUCUUUCUUUCUGUCCCUCUCUCUCUCUCACUGUGUCCCCAGUGUCCUCCCCCAGUCCUCCGCCAAUCCUCCCCUCUCUCCUAGCUCGUUGGGUGUGCUGCAGAGCUGGCAGGGUUAAAAGGGCAAGUGCUGACCGGCCCUCUUUCUUUCUCUGUCUGCUGUUACUAGGUCACCUCACACACAGACAUGCACGCUCACACGUGCACACACACCUCGCUUUGCGGUCAGUGUUGCCACCAGGGAGAGGGGUAAUUUAAGCCCUCCUUGAUGUAGCCUAUUCAUCACUGUCCUGCAGGCUAUGCUUCAAAAUUAAAGUCUGAUCUACAAAGUUGGAGUGAUAUGAGAUAAAAAUUAAAAAAUUGGCAGAGGUCACAAGGUGCAACACAGUCGAAACGCGAAGCCGUGGCUCAGCUGCUCUGUAUGAGGUCCUUAAGUUAUUUGAUCUCUUAACUGUGCGAAUUGUGGGUUUUUUGGGGGGGUUUUAGUGGAAAUUGUCAAAUUUGCAAAAUGACGCCUGGUGGGUUAGUGCCAAAGAACUUGAAUGGCCAGUAGUCCCCACCGAUGCCUCAUUGGCAUUGCCUGAAUCAAGAGAUGCAUGUGUAUUCACUUUAACCCCACAUUUCACAUAUGUAGAUUCUAUGAUAACAUACCAAAAAGUUAAAUGUUAUUGGUUCAAGAGACAAAAUGAAUACCGUCAUUGGGAAAAGACAUGCAAUAUGUCAUUGUCUUUUCCGAUAUGGUUAUUACCAAAAAGUGCAGAGACAGGUUUAAAAUGUGUGAAAAUAGUCAAAUGUUACUGUUGACUCUUGGGUUUUAUUGGAAAGGCCUCCUCACGUCAACAUGCCCCAUUGAUGUUUAUGGAAAACUAAUGAAAAGAUUUUUUUUUCUUCUUUCUUUCCGCUCAAAUAAUGUUUUUUCAUUCAAAUAUUGAAUGAUCUUCUGUCUUUGUUGAAGUUACUUAGGCCUACUCCUUUUUCGCAUUGGGUCACAAAGUACUAAAAGGACGAGGACAAAUUAUUAAUACACAAAAAAGGAAACCUAGUACGUUUUGCAUGAAUAACUAAACACGCAUGUGAAUUAAAUGUCAUCUGCAUCGUGCUUUUAGAGACAAAUGAGAAAUACAUACACACACAUCGGCCCUCUGCCUUUCUGCAACCAUCAAGCUGAGCAGCCCAAAGGGUCGUCUGCUAGUGUAAUUUGACUGAAGACUAAAGGAAAAAUGUCUUUAACUAAAUACUCAGAAAUGUCUUUUUUAAAUACAUCACACAAACACAAACAAAAGUGAGACAGGCAGAUCAGGAUAAUAAUACUGCAUUUAUCAUUUGAGAAGCACAGCGUUUUUAGUUAAGCAUAUAGUCUUAAACCGAGUAAUUUUACCAGCUCUGAUAUUUUUAGAAGGAGCAGGUAUUUCUUUGGAAAAUGUUUGCGUCUCACGUCUGAUGAGUUACACUGUUUAUCAGCGUACAGUUUGACGGCGCGCCGCUGGGUGAGUCACUGCUUCCUCCUCACUGUGUGUGUGUGUGUGUGUGUGUGUGUGUGUGUGUGUGUGUGUGUGCGGAAACCACGCUGACAGCUGCAGCUCAUUACAGGCACUAUUACUGAUGGGGACUGGGGGAAAUUCCUUCUCCCACAGAGCAAACCACCCUGUUUACCACACACACACACACACACAUGCAGGUCUCGCUCAUAAACCAGAGAUGCGACAUUUGUAACUGAAGCAAGAACAAAACAUAUCAAAUAGAUACAUUUAGCAAACAAAAAAGAAAAAAAGAGGCCAUCUUCUGUAAAUGGAGGGGGCACAGAUUUGAUCUAUCCAGUUUCAGGAGAAUGGACAACAUCCUUCACCUGUGCAGGAAGUGUACUCUUCUACAUGUAGUAGAAGUAAGUUGCGUGGGCGUGGGUUCCCAUAAACACACACACACACACACACACACACACACACACACACACACACACACACACACACACACACACACACACUCUCUCGCACACACACACACACACAGGGUGAGCAAACUUAAGAGGAGAUGAGAUCACCGGAGCACUCUAAGCCCUUCUAAAUUGGCACACAGCGGCGACGCACACACACACACACACACACACACACACACACACACACACACACACACACACACACACAACACACACACGCACCCACACACACACACACACACACACACACACACACUCACUCAGAGUAUACAGUGUCCAGUGACGUUAAUGAGAGGGCUGAAAGCCAGACACACAUGUGCUAGAGUCAUUAGGGAGGACUUCAUAGCUACACUUCAGGCCACUACGCUCCAUUACUGUACUUCACUGGUUUCACUGCUUGAAAAUGGUGUUUUUUCAAAGUCAGGUCCAGGGACCACCAGGGCUACUUGGAGAGCCGCGGGGUUCCUUGCAAAAUUAAAAAAGGAUCGACCAGUUACAAGUUUUUCUUUCCAUUUAUUUGGAGCAUCCAUGUUGUUAUAAUACAAAAAAAAAUAGUCUUGCAUGAAUCUAUUUAGAAACAUUAAUAGUUCUGACGAAGAACUGUUUUUAAUGGAUUAGUAGAUUUUUAUUUUAAAAUUUGUGGUGCAGUGAUAGUGUUUGUAAAGGCAGACUUACUAGUAUUAAAUAUUAGUUACACUUGUUUCAGGUGAUCACUUCUAUCUGGCUUUUGAAUCAGAGGAUUUUUUAAUGAUCUAAAAUCUGAAUGAACGAACGAACACAAAAGGACAAUGCUAAAAAACAGAUUUCAACCAUUGUGCGCUACACACAAAAAGGACAUUACCAGUUAGAGUAUUCUUUGUAGGGGAAUGUGGCCCAUUAUUCAUAAACACUGAUAGUCCAAAAAAAGUGCCACUGGGCCGACGGCCCAUUUGUUCCACAGUAUGUUGUUCUGAAAACAAAUACCCAUUGCAGAUUAUGCUGAACGUCAUUUUAGUGAUAUUUUUUUCUUUGGAUGGGUUCAUUGGGUGAAAGCAGGAGGACUGACACUAGUAAGGUUAAAGAUAAGAAUAUUGGCUGACUGACUUACCUUGAUAGACUCAAUAUGCAUUUUGACUUUGAAGUAAUGACAUGUAAUUACAUUUAUUUCAGGCAACACAAAGAAAUAACAAAAUAAGAAUCAAGUCUGUGAAAAGAUCUGUGAGAAGACUGAAACAAGCAAAGCGUUAUAGAUUUGGAAUGCUUUCUCCCCCCUUCUAUGGUAAAAAAGAAUAAGCAAUACGCUUUGGCCAUUCAGUCAAUACUUAUUUAGAAGAUCAGUUGAAUGUUUUGGUUUUAAAAGAAAAAAAGAAUUCAAACGACGAACAUCCGAGACUCUAAAUCAGGUGUGCCCUAUAGGUUGAUUGCGAUCGAAGGCGGUACCAGUUGAUCGUGUGCGCGGCCUACCGCGGGAGAAACUAAUGCUAAUUAGCGAUCCUUGCUUAUUAACAGACACAUUUAAAUUGUACUCCAAAGCAACCCAGGCUGACUCCAGUAAGGUAAUGACCAAGAACGUGCCGGAUGCUUGUGACAAUUUCCUCCUGACAGAGACGCUCGUUGUCUUCUUCAUAUCGACACGUUUCACGCUGACGGCAGGGCUGUUGCUGGUCACUGCUACUACUUACCGUCGGUUCCCCGAAAAGUAGCUUGCGAGCCUGAAAACUGUGGGCACCCCUGCCCUAAAUGAUAAUAUUCCAACAUAACUAAAUUGGUUUCUUAGUUAUGUUUAGAAAGAAUCAUAUUUUGUUAUUAACGUUAGGAAGCAGGGAUGAUUUGGAGAAGCUCUACCCGAAGAUCUUGUUGAACAUUAUUAUUUAUUGAUAAAAGCAGCUUCUUCCAAUUUGCAAUCAAUACAGGAAAGCAUCAGUAGACCAUAGGUUACCACAUAUUUUACCAUUACAUGCAUCUCACAGCUCCCAAACCUUUUCUGUCCGGGCCUCCUUUGAGGAUAUAGGGACAUUGUAGUACAUGUUGGUGGUUGCAAGGGCACUAUCAGUCCUGAAGUGGUCCGUUUUAAUUGUGUUAAAAUAUUUUAUUGCAUUAAUCUCAGGCCACGAUAUCCGCAUAGAUUAACAGGUUAAUUUUGACAGCCCUAGUUUUUAUAAAAUAAUUACAAGUCACUUUUUCCACUUAGCUGUUAUUAUAUUGUUUAUUUUGCUGAUACUACUGCUACUGCUGUUUAUUUUGUAAACAUAUUUAAGUACAUUUUGUAAACAUAUUUAAGUACAUUUUCUUCAAAUAUUAAAAUUUAAACACUGCAAAAACUUAAAACCAUGCAUUUUUGCUGUCUUUUUAAUGCUGAAUGUCUCACGAUCUCCCUCUCUCCCUUUCCCUAUCUCUCUUUUUUUUCGUAGUGAUGAAGCCACGACCCCCUUGUUGCCCCACCCCAGUUUUGGAACCACUGGAGUAGACCAGCUUUCUUUCGCUCACUUCCUCUGGUCAUUAUAUAAUAUAAAAAGGGUACAACAUUAUUAGGUUAUGGCAGAAUAUGCCUGUAACAAAAUCUUGGAAGCCAAAAUCUUUUACGGAAAUUGAAAAUGACAGGCAAUGCCCUUUGAAAUGUAUUUGUAGUUUUGGUGAAUGUUAUGUGGUACAUAUAUAUUCAAAGACUUGUGUUUUCCUAGUUUUCAUAGUAUUAUUCAGUAAUAUAAUACAAUUAGUAUUAAAAUAUUUUAGUAAUACCAUUUCUAAUUACCAUUACAAAUACCAUUUCAGGUUAUUGGAUUAGAAAAAAAGUCAUCAAUUCCUUUCAUUGGCGAUAGCAUGGCAACCAAAAGACGUUGGUUGAGAAAAUCCCCAAAACAUUGUGUCCAGAAAUUUGUUGUAAGCAUAUUCUAGCAUAACUUAAUUAUGCUGUUAUCCAUCUCCCUUCUGUCAUGACUGGAGAAAAAGAGAGAGAUGGUCCACUCCACGCUGUGAUGUAUCUGUUGCAUUAAUCAACCUCUUAAAUUGGAACAGGCUGCUUUUUAUUAAUUAUGUUCAACGUGAGGUUAGUAGAGCCUCACGCGACCAUCCCUCCCUUUUCGUUUAGACACACAAAUCACUUCCAGAUAGAAAAGGAUGGGAGAGAGAGAGGGCGAGCUUCAUUACAAUUAAAUGAACAGAGAAAACGAGACGAUGCCAACGGGGAUGCGGUGAAAGAACGAUGACAGGUAUUUAGAUAAUAAAAUGAGAAGUGACACUAGGGUGUUUAAAAGGGUGAUGAACCCCUUUUGGCAUUUCUAGGUUUAAACAAUUUAACCGAAAAAUGUAGUUUGCGUAAACACCUACACAGAUAACUUCAUUUCAGAAAAAACAAUUUCAUUUUAUGUAUACUUGUGUUCCUUUAUCACUUAUUUCAACUUGAUUGGAUCUUUGUCCAUAUGAAUCAAAUUAUUUAACAAGUUUCCGAACGAUGGACAACACACUGCAGUGUGUAGAUGGAGCGCACGUAAUUGUGAUGGUCCAGUACCUCAACAGAGCAGCACGCGUUUUUGGGAAUAACGCCUCAGAGAAAGAUGCAACAGCGCAAACAGAUGUUUUCAAGCAGGAGAGCUGGACGCGCGUUGCAUGAUGUAUACAAGACGGCGGGUUGACUGGCUAUUCAACAUAACUAAAUUUGCAUAACUUGUGUGUAAAUUAGGAGCGCAAGCUAGCUAAACUUGAAUAUGUUAGGCCACUGGCAACCACAGGGGCAGGACUCAAAAGCAGACACAGGCAACAUGUCGUCGGGUGAAGAAUGGUCGUUACUGAAGAGAGUUCGGUACACAGGUAAUCAGUCGCAAAGGUAUCCAAAUCUGAAGGCAAAACUUACAGGUACACGGGAACGGGUCAAGACACGACGGCGCGACAAACUGGCACAGAACGAGGGAUUGACACAGACUAAAUACGCUAGGCAGGGCAAGCAACGAGACCCGGGUGGAGACAAUCAGGGAGGAGCUUGUAACCACACACAGUGAGGGGGAGCUGCCUGAAACGACAAAACAGAGUCACAGAAAACACAGACAAA